rnacentral:rRNA from 1 species
GUGGGGAAUCUUGCGCAAUGGGCGAAAGCCUGACGCAGCAACGCCGCGUGGGGGAUGACGGCCUUCGGGUUGUAAACCUCUUUCGACCGGGACGAAGGAUUCGUUUGACGGUACCGGUAGAAGAAGCACCGGCUAACUACGUGCCAGCAGCCGCGGUAAUACGUAGGGUGCGAGCGUUGUCCGGAAUUAUUGGGCGUAAAGAGCUCGUAGGCGGUUUGUCGCGUCGGCCGUGAAAUCCUGCCGCUUAACGGUGGGCGUGCGGUCGAUACGGGCAGACUUGAGUUCGGUAGGGGAGACUGGAAUUCCUGGUGUAGCGGUGAAAUGCGCAGAUAUCAGGAGGAACACCGGUGGCGAAGGCGGGUCUCUGGGCCGAUACUGACGCUGAGGAGCGAAAGCGUGGGGAGCGAACAGGAUUAGAAACCCCUGUAGUCC